GAUGAACGCUGGCGGCGUGCCUAAUACAUGCAAGUCGAGCGAACGGACGAGAAGCUUGCUUUUCUGAUGUUAGCGGCGGACGGGUGAGUAACACGUGGAUAACCUACCUAUAAGACUGGGAUAACUUCGGGAAACCGGAGCUAAUACCGGAUAAUAUUUUGAACCGCAUGGUUCAAAAGUGAAAGACGGUCUUGCUGUCACUUAUAGAUGGAUCCGCGCUGCAUUAGCUAGUUGGUAAGGUAACGGCUUACCAAGGCAACGAUGCAUAGCCGACCUGAGAGGGGGAUCGGCCGCCCUGGAACUGAGACCGGGUCCAGACUCCUACGGGAGGCAGCAGUAGGGAAUCUGCCGCAAUGGGCGAAAGCCUGACGGAGCAACGCCGCGUGAGUGAUGAAGGUCUUCGGAUCGGAAAACUCUGUUAUUAGGGAAGAACAUAUGUGUAAGUAACUGUGCACAUCUUGACGGUACCUAAUCAGAAAGCCACGGCUAACUACGUG
rnacentral:rRNA from 1 species